UACGUAGGGUGCAAGCGUUAAUCGGAAUUACUGGGCGUAAAGCGUGCGCAGGCGGCUUUGCAAGACAGAUGUGAAAUCCCCGGGCUUAACCUGGGAACUGCAUUGGUGACUGCAAGGCUUGAGUGUGUCAGAGGGAGGUGGAAUUCCGCGUGUAGCAGUGAAAUGCGUAGAUAUGCGGAGGAACACCGAUGGCGAAGGCAGCCUCCUGGGAUAACACUGACGCUCAUGCACGAAAGCGUGGGGAGCAAACAGG
rnacentral:rRNA from 1 species